GACAGAGGGUGCAAACGUUGUUCGGAAUUACUGGGCGUAAAGCGUACGCAGACGGUAAGGAAGGUCGGAUGUGAAAGCCCCGGGCUCAACCCUGGAACUGCAUUCGAAACCCCCUUGCUAGAGUAUGGGAGAGGGAAGCGGAAUUCCUGGUGUAGAGGUGAAAUUCGUAGAUAUCAGGAGGAACACCGGCGGCGAAGGCGGCUUCCUGGCCCAUUACUGACGUUCAGGUACGAAAGCGUGGGUAGCAAACAGG
rnacentral:rRNA from 1 species